rnacentral:rRNA from 1 species
GUGGGGAAUCUUGCGCAAUGGGCGAAAGCCUGACGCAGCCAUGCCGCGUGAAUGAUGAAGGUCUUAGGAUUGUAAAAUUCUUUCACCGGGGACGAUAAUGACGGUACCCGGAGAAGAAGCUCCGGCUAACUUCGUGCCAGCAGCCGCGGUAAUACGAAGGGUGCGAGCGUUGUCCGGAUUUAUUGGGUUUAAAGGGUGCGUAGGCUGGCAGGUCAGUCAGCGGUGAAAAGCUGUCGCUUAACGAUAGUCUUGCCGCAGCUACUUCCUUUCUUGGAUGAGGGGGAGGCCACUGGAACGGAUGGUGUAGCGGUGAAAUGCAUAGAUAUCAUCCAGAACACCGAUUGCGAAGGCAGGUGGCUGUACCUUAAUCGACGCUGAUGCACGAAAGCAUGGGGAGCAAACAGGAUUAGAUACCCUUGUAGUCC